GCCACGUGGGGUCUCUGCUGCCGGCUGCCGCCGCAGGGCCCAGCAACGUCUGUGGGUGCUCCUGGCUCGGGCUUGGGAUGCCUCUGCCAGCCAGGGACAGACUCGGUGACGGGCAGGGUGGAUGGGUCGGGGGCAGCGGGGACAGCCAGGCCCCGCGGCCCUCAGCGGAGCCCCGUGGAAGGCUCGUUCUGGCUCACGGAGCAGUCUGGCGGGAAAGCCGCUGGCUUAGGGGUGUGUUUCCUCCUCGUGGAAACUGGGGACCGAGUCUCUGUCCGUUUUGUCAUGUUCCAGGAUAAAGGUCCUGGGACGUUUUUGAUGCCCUGGGCCUCUUUGCCCGCCGAAUUCUCUAGAACUGUAUCUCAUCUGAGAAUAGUAUGUUUUAUUUUUUUUAAAAAGAUUUAUUUAUUUAUUUAUUUGAAAGGCAGAGUAACACAGAGAGAGAGAAAGAGAUUUUCCAUCUGCUGGCUCAUUCCCCAAUUGGCCACAACGGCCAGAGCUGCACUGAUCUGAAGCCAGGAGCCAGGAGCCAGGAGCUUCUUCUGGGUCUCCCAUGCGGGUGCAGGGGUCCAAGGACUUGGGUCAUCUUCUACUGCUUUCCCAGGCCAUAGCAGAGAGCUGGAUCAGAAGUGGAGCAGCUGGGACUUGAACUGGCGCCCAUACGAAAUACCAGCACUGCAGUCCAGCUCUCUGCUGUGGCCCGGGAGGGCAGUUGAGGAUGGUUCAAGUGCUUGGGCCCUGCACCCGCAUGGGAGACCAGGAAGAAGCACCCGCUCCUGGCUUCGGAUUGGCGCAGCGUCGGCCUUAGCAGCCAUUUGGGAAAUGACUCAACGGAAGGAAGACCUUUCUCUUUGUCUCUCUCUCACUGUCUAUAACUCUACCUGUCAAAUUAAAAAAAAAAAAAAAAGAAUACUAUGUUUUAAAUACAUAAAAGACAUAGACAUAC